GUUGUUUUUGUUGUCAAACUGCCAUCACCCGAGUUUUCGAGAUCCGGAAACUGUUCCGUUCCGGCGGUUUGUGAACCUAUCCAGCUGCAGUGGAGAGUUUACACCUGUUGUGAAAGCCACACAUCCUGUUAACAGAACCAUAAUCCGCCGAAACCAGACGACAUUCAACUCACGAGUAUUCAAACAGAUAUGGUUCCCCUGAUUAGCAUGCCAGCCAAGAUGCCAGCGGUCCCACCCAUCAACAAUCGCACCAUGUCAAAACGGACGGAAACGGCCAUAGAAGCAGAUUCCACCCACAUCUCGAGCUAGUGCUUGCGAUCUUCGCGGAUCGUGCCAUUUUAUCCCGUGCCACCAUCCAACGAGUCUGGCGAUGACUAAAACUGCAGACAUCGCAUACGACGAUGACAACGGAGGUGGAAAUUGUGCAGCUAGAAAUGAUGGUCGCAAUUGUAUUGCUAAUGGACCUGGUGGUGGAACCGCUGAUACCGGAUCGAGUGGAAGCGGUCGAAUGGAAGGACAUCAUUUAGGAGGUAUGUGCCUAAGUGAUCCUAAAGAUUGAUUCCGUAAAGAGGAUUGUAUUGUCUGUCCUUUCGCCUCAGAGUAAAUCGUUGAAUAUGGGAUUCAAUAUGCCAGCUUCUCCAAGUGCCAACACCGCGGUUCCGGUAGCUUGAUCUUCGGAGGAGGGCUGCUAUGCACUGAACGAAACAUCGUAGGAUGUGUACUGCUGACCAGAUAUGGAUGCACCGGAAAGUAACGAUUAUCGUGCGCAAGGUAAUAGCAAUUACCGAGAAGAGUGCAAAAUAUUCGCGAUAGCGCAUUCGAGGCCCACCGAGAUCUUAAAGAUAUGGAUUCCUGAUUCGCACGAGGAAACAGUUUCCAAUUUGAUAAAUGCAAUGAUCAUUAUCAUCUAUCUCAUCACAAGCGUCGUCGAGACGAGAAUGGGCUUCCUUAAACUUCUAUUUCCGCCAAUACAGCAACCGGUAAUCUGACAUACUGCUACUCUUUAAGGCAUGAAUCCUGCUUUUACCAGUCCAACAGUAAUCAGUAGCUCCGGUAUGGUUUCAGUAAGUUUUUAAAAUAAGGAUUGUGUAUGUAUUUGAAAUACUAUUUUAAUAAAAAAAAAGUAAUAAAUAUUUACUUCGUUAAACAAUUAUUUCGAUAAUUCCAAUAUUUUGAAAAUCUCAAGCAAAAGCAAAACAAUGAAAAUUUACCCAAAUUUGGGUGAAAUUUACUAAUAAACC